rnacentral:rRNA from 1 species
UACGGGGGGGGUAAGCGUUGCUCGGAAUUACUGGGCGUAAAGGGCUCGUAGGCGGCCAACUAAGUCAUACGUGAAAUCCCUCAGCUUAACUGGGGAACUGCGUGUGAUACUGGAUGGCUUGGAUUUGGGAGAGGGAUGCGGAAUUCCAGGUGUAGCGGUGAAAUGCGUAGAUAUCUGGAGGAACACCGGUGGCGAAGGCGGCAUCCUGGACCAAUAUUGACGCUGAGGAGCGAAAGCCAGGGGAGCAAAGCGGG